UUACUGGGCGUAAAAGCGCAUGCAGGUGGUUUGUUAAGUCAGAUAGUGAAAGACCCGGGGCUCAAAACCUCGGAAAUUUGCAUUUUGAAAAACUGGCAAAACUAGAGUACUGUAGAGGGGGUAGAAUUUUCAGGUGUAGCGGUGAAAAUGCGUAGAGAUCUGAAGGAAUACCGGUGGCGAAGGCGGCCCCCUGGACAGAUACUGACACUCAGAUGCGAAAGCGUGGGGAGCCAAAACAGGAUUUAGAUACCCCUGGUCG
rnacentral:rRNA from 1 species